rnacentral:rRNA from 1 species
UACAGAGGUGGCAAGCGUUGUUCGGAAUUACUGGGCGUAAAGGGCGCGUAGGCGGCCUUCUAAGUCAGACGUGAAAUCCCCCGGCUUAACCUGGGAACUGCGUCUGAUACUGGAAGGCUUGAGUGCGGGAGAGGGAUGUGGAAUUCCAGGUGUAGCGGUGAAAUGCGUAGAUAUCUGGAGGAACACCGGUGGCGAAGGCGGCAUCCUGGACCGGUAUUGACGCUGAGGCGCGAAAGCCAGGGGAGCAAACGGG